UGGAACGGGGAAAAGUUCCUGGAACCGCUGGAAUUUUGGGAUGGAACGGGAAAAGUUCCUGGAACCGCUGGAAUUUUGGGAUGGAACGGGGAAAAGUUCCUGGAACCGCUGGAAUUUUGGGAUGGAACGGGGAAAAGUUCCUGAAAGAGCUGGAAUUGUGAGAUGGAAAGUUCUGGAAUUACGGCUCUGGAAGGGCCUGGAAUUACAACUCUGGAACGUUCUGGAAUGUUCUGGAAGGUGCUGGAAUUACGGCUGUGGAAUAUUCUGGAAAGUGCUGGAAUUGCAGCUCUGGAAAAGCCUGGAAAGUUCUGGAAUUACGGCUCUGGAAUGUUCUGGAAAGUUCUGGAAUUACAGCCCUGGAAUGUUCUGGAAAGUGCUGGAAUUACAACUCUGGGAUGUUCUGGAAUGUUCUGGAAAAGGCUGGAAUUACAAGUCUGGAAAGUUCUGGAAUUACAGCUCUGGAAUAUUCUGGAAAGGUCUGGAAUUACAGCCCUGGAAUGUUCUGGAAAGUGCUGGGAUUACAGCCCUGGAAUGUUCUGGAAUGUUCUGGAAUUACAGCCCUGGAAUGUUCUGGAAAGUGCUGGAAUUACGGCUUUGGAAAGGCCUGGAAUGUUCUGGAAUUACAGCUCUGGAAAGUGCUGGAAUUACAGCUCUGGAAGGGCCUGGAAUGUUCUGGAAAGGUCUGGAAUUACAGCCCUGGAAUGUUCUGGAAAGUGCUGGAAUUACAACUCUGGGAUGUUCUGGAAUGUUCUGGAAAAGGCUGGAAUUACAAGUCUGGAAUGUUCUGGAAUUACGGCUUUGGAAGGGACUGGAAUUAAAACUCUGGAGUGUUCUGGAAUCUUCUGGAAAGUGCUGGAAUUACGGCUCUGAAAGGGCCUGGAAAGUUCUGGAAUCACAGCCCUGGAAUGUUCUGGAAUGUUCUGGAAUUACGGCUCUGGAAAAGCCUGGAAAGUUCUGGAAUUACAGCCCUGGAAGGGCUCGGAAUGUUCUGGAAUUACAGCUCUGGAAGAGCCUGGAAAGUUCUGGAAUUCCAGCUCUGGAAGGGUCUGGAAUAUUCUGGAAUUACAGCUCUGGAAAGUUCUGGAAUUCCAGCUCUGGAAGAGCCUGGAAAGUUCUGGAAUUACAGCCCUGGGAUGUUCUGGAAAGUUCUGGAAUUCCAGCUCUGGAAGAGCCUGGAAAGUUCUGGAAUUCCAGCUCUGGAAGAGCCUGGAAAGUUCUGGAAUUCCAGCUCUGGAAGGGCCCGGAAUGUUCUGGAAUUCCAGCUCUGGAAGGGCCCAGAAUGUUCUGGAAUUAAAGCUUUGGAAAGUUCUGGAAUUACGGUUUUGGGAAUGAAAGAGCUCCCAAAAGCACCGGAAGAAGUUUGGGAAGGAAACGCCUAAAAAUGACCCAAAAUUGGGUCCUGGAAGGGAAAGAAUUGCUAAAAAUGAUCAAAAAUGGGUCCUGGAAGGGAAAGAAUUCCUAAAAAUGAUCAAAAAUGGUCUUGGAAGGGAAAGAAUUCCUAAAAAUGACCAAAAAUGGUCUUGGAAGGUGAAAUGUGGUGAAGAAAAUCCUAAAAAUGACCCCAAAAUGGGUUUGGGUGGGAAAGAAUUCCUAAAAUCCCUCGGAACGGGGUCAGGGAUGGAGAAAAGGUCCUGGAAUGUGCUGGAAUUGGGUCCUGGAAGGGAAAGAAUUCCUAAAAUUCCUCGGAACGGGGUCAGGGAUGAGGGAAAGGUCCUGGAAUGUGCUGGAAUUGGGUCCUGGAAGGGAAAGAAUUCCUAAAAAUGACCAAAAAUGGUCCUGGAAGGGAAAGAAUUGCUAAAAUCCCUCGGAACGGGGUCAGGGAUGGGGGAAAAAGGUCCUGGAAGGGAAAGAAUUCCUAAAAUCCCUCAGAAUGGGGUCAGGGAUGGGGGAAAAGGUCCUGGAAUGUGCUGGAAUUGGGUCCUGGAAGGGAAAAAAUUCCUAAAAACGACCAAAAACGGUCUCAACGAAACUAAAAACCCUCAAAAAUGAAUUUUUAGAUGUGGGAAAAUCCUCGAAACCCCGCCCAAAACCAAACUUGGAAGCGAAAAAAUUCCUAAAACUCACCCAAAUCAGCUCCCGGAAGUCAGAAUUCCUAAAAAAAAAACCUCUCAGAGCGGAUCCGGAUUCCGGAAACGUCCAAAACCCCACCAGAAACGGGUCCAAAAAUUCAAAUGUGAUGAGGAAAAUUCCUAAAAAAUCCCCAGAAUCAGGUCCUGGAAGGGAGAGAAUUCCUAAAAAAUGUCCUUAGGAGUGGAUCCGUGCCGUGAAAUUCCUAAAAAAUCCCCGGGAUUUGGUCCUGGAAGUGAGAGAAUUCCUAAAAAGUGUCCUCGGAGUUGUUGAAUUCCCAAGAAAUUCACCGGAAUUGUGACUUGGAAAUGAGAAUUCCUAGGAAAUGUUCUUGGAAUGUGUCCAUGUUGCUGAAUUCCCAAGAAAUUCACCCAAAUUGUGCCUUGGAAAUGAAAGAAUUCCUAGAAAAUGUCCUUGGAAUGUGUCGAUGUUGAGAGAAUUCCUUAAAAUUCACCCAAAUUGUGCCUUGGAAAUGAGAGAAUUCCUUAAAAUUCCUUAAAAUUCACCCAAAUUGUGUCUUGGAAAUGACAGAAUUCCUAAAAAUUCCUUAAAAUUCCUUAAAAUUUUGCCUUGAAAAUGAAAAAAUUCCUAGAAAAUGUUCUUGGAAUUAUGACUUGAAAAUGAAAGAAUUCCUAAAAAUUCACCCAAAUUGUGCCUUGGAAAUGAGAAAAUUCCUUAAAAUUCCUUAAAUUGUGCCUUGGAAAUGAAAGAAUUCCUAAAAAAUGUUCUUGGAAUGUGUCCAUGUUGCUGAAUUCCCAAAAAUUCGCCCAAAUUGUGCCUUGGAAAUGAGAAAAUUCCUUAAAAUUCACCCAAAUUGUGCCUUGGAAGUGAAAGAAUUCCUGGAAAAUGUUCUUGGAAUGUGUCGAUGUUGAGAGAAUUCCUUAAAAUUCACCCAAAUUGUGCCUUGGAAAUGAGAAAAUUCCUAAAAAUUCCCAAAAAUUCACCCAAAUUGUGCCUUGGAAAUGAAAGAAUUCCUAAAAAUUCCUAAAAAUUCCCAAAAAUUCACUCAAAUUUUGCCUUGAAAAUGAAAAAAUCCCUAAAAAAUAUCCUUGCAAUGUGUCCAUGGUGCCGAAUUCCUAAAAAAUUCACCCAAAUUGUGCCUUGGAAAUGAGAAAAUUCCUUAAAAUUCAUAAAAAUUCCUCAAAAUUCCUUAAAAUUUUGCCUUGGAAAUGAGAAAAUUCCUUAAAAAAUCACCCAAAUUGUGCCUUGGAAAUGAGGAAAUUCCUUAAAAUUCCUUAAAAUUCCUUAAAAUUCGCUCAAAUUGUGCCUUGAAAAUGAAAGAAUUCCUAAAAAUUCCCAAAAAUUCCCAAAAAUUCACCCAAAUUGUGCCUUGGAAAUGAGAAAAUUCCUAAAAUUCCUUAAAAUUGUGCCUUGGAAUGAAAGAAUUCCUAGAAAAUGUCCUUGGAAUGUGUCGAUGUUGCCGAAUUCCCAAAAAUUCACCCAAAUUGUGCCUUGAAAAUGAGAGAAUUCCUUAAAAUUCACCCAAAUUGUGACUUGGAAAUGAGAAAAUUCCUAAAAAUUCCUUAAAAUUCACCCAAAUUGUGCCUUGGAAAUGAGAAAAUUCCUUAAAAUUCACCCAAAUUGUGCCUUGAAAAUGAGAAAAUUCCUUAAAAUUUACCCAAAUUGUGCCUUGGAAAUGAGAGAAUUCCUUAAAAUUCCUUAAAAUUCACUCAAAUUGUGCCUUGGAAAUGAAAGAAUUCCUAAAAAUUCCCCAAAAUUCGCCCAAAUUGUGCCUUGGAAAUGAGAAAAUUCCUUAAAAUUCACCCAAAUUGUGCCUUGGAAAUGAGAAAAUUCCUUAAAAUUCACCCAAAUUGUGCCUUGGAAAUGAAAGAAUUCCUAAAAAAUGUUCUUGGAAUGUGUCCAUGUUGCUGAAUUCCCAAAAAUUCGCCCAAAUUGUGCCUUGGAAAUGAGAAAAUUCCUUAAAAUUCACCCAAAUUGUGCCUUGGAAGUGAAAGAAUUCCUGGAAAAUGUUCUUGGAAUGUGUCGAUGUUGAGAGAAUUCCUUAAAAUUCACCCAAAUUGUGCCUUGGAAAUGAGAAAAUUCCUAAAAAUUCCCAAAAAUUCACCCAAAUUGUGCCUUGGAAAUGAAAGAAUUCCUAAAAAUUCCUAAAAAUUCCCAAAAAUUCACUCAAAUUUUGCCUCAAAAAUAAAAAAAUCCCUAAAAAAAAUCCUUGCA
rnacentral:lncRNA from 1 species